rnacentral:rRNA from 1 species
AACGAACGCUGGCGGCAGGCUUAACACAUGCAAGUCGAACGAGCUGGGGGCUUCUGUCCGCGAUGCUAGUGGCGCACGGGUGAGUAACACGUGGGAAUAUUCCCUUUAGUACGGAAUAACCAAGGUAAACUUUGGCUAAUACCGUAGACGCCCUUCGGGGGAAAGAUUUAUCGCUAAAGGAUUAGCCCGCGUCUGGUUAGGUAGUUGGUGAGGUAAUGUCUCACCAAGCCGACGAUCAGUAGCUGGUCUGAGAGGAUGAUCAGCCACACUGGGACUGAGACACGGCCCAGACUCCGACGGGAGGCAGCAGUAGGGAAUAUUGGACAAUGGGGGCCACCCUGAUCCAGCCAUGCCGCGUGAGUGAAGAAGGCCUUCGGGUUGCAAAGCUCUCUCGACGGGGACGAUGAUGACGGUACCCGUAUAAGAAGCCCCGGCAAACUUCGUG